UCAAGGGGCAGCAUUUCUGUAGCUGCAGCCUGGAGGCGAAAUGCUGACAGAGCCUCGGAGGUGAGCAACCAGAGAAAGUGGGGUGCUUCUCCCUAAGGAACUAGCACAGAACUCGGCGCAUGCCGCGUGUAUCUGCUGAGUUACGCAUGAAGGCAUGAAGGCAUGAAGGAAUGGGGGCAGGCUGGUCCUCGUCAGCAGGGAGGAGGCCCACAGAGCAGGGCGUCACGUCCUGGCUUUGACUCAGCCUGAUUCAGCUGGAAACUCUGACUGCAGACACUUCUCAGCGUGUCGUCUGGACUCCCUGCCGUGCCGGGCAAACAGGAGACCUGACAGGAAAUUCCGGAUGACGGAGGGACGGAGGGUUCUGCUGGAAUUAUUCUUAGACUCUCGGGGUCAUCUGGAGUGUGUCAGGGACCUGGCCCUCCCCUCGUCACCCAGGGGAUGUCCCUGGCUCCGAAGUCGGGAUCCGUGCCCAGGCUCCAGCCACUGACCCACAUCCCUUCUGUCUGCAUUGUCUGACCUGCCCGAUUUGCUGGCCACAUCGGGACGCAGGGAGAACCUGGGGGGCCUUGCGUGCCUUAGGGACUGUCCACUCGACUGCCAGUUGCCCGGCUGAGUGACAGGGAGCCCCAGCAGACUUUGCGAGUCUUAGGGAAGAGUGAUUCCUGCUCCCGUGGCUGACCCCUGGACUGCUGCCCAAGGGGACCGGAGACGGGCCUCCUGUCUGCUGGGCUCAGCGAGUGCCUUCCCAAGGAGGAACCCCUUUGGGCAAAGCCAGCAUCUGAACUUCUGUCAGUUCUUGGCAGAUACGGCAAUGUCCCCAGUGCCCAGCGUGUGGUGAGAGCCAGGGCCUUGGAUCAAAUUCUUCAUUUACCAGAAAGCUGAUCUCUUUAGGUUUCCAGUUUAUCGAUAAAUUCCUAAGACCCAGAA